rfam:Triticum aestivum genome assembly, contig: Triticum_aestivum_CS42_TGACv1_scaffold_645377_T_1AS-0.192756_1DL-0.100814
UAUCUACUUCCUCCGUUCCAAAUUACUCGUCUCAGAAAUGGAUGUAUUUAGAACUAAAAUACAUCUAGAUACAUCCAUUUCUGCAACGAGUAAUUCGAAACGGAGAGAGUACCAU